rnacentral:rRNA from 1 species
GUCCUACGGGAGGCAGCAGUGGGGAAUAUUGCACAAUGGGGGAAACCCUGAUGCAGCGACGCCGCGUGAGUGAAGAAGUAUUUCGGUAUGUAAAGCUCUAUCAGCAGGAAAGAAAAUGACGGUACCUGAAUAAGAAGCCCCGGCUAACUACGUGCCAGCAGCCGCGGUAAUACGUAGGGGGCAAGCGUUAUCCGGAUUUACUGGGCGUAAAGGGAGCGUAGACGGCAGAGAAAGUCUGAAGUGAAAGCCCGCGGCUCAACCGCGGAACUGCAUUGGAAACUUUUCGGCUAGAGUAC